AGCAUAUCAAUAAGCGGAGGAAAAGAAACCAACAGGGAUUGCUCUAGUAACGGCGAGUGAAGCAGCAAUAGCUCAAAUUUGAAAUCUGGCGUCUUCGACGUCCGAGUUGUAAUUUGUAGAGGAUGCUUCUGAGUAACCACCGACCUAAGUUCCUUGGAACAGGACGUCAUAGAGGGUGAGAAUCCCGUAUGCGGUCGGAAAGGUGCUCUACACGUAGCUCCUUCGACGAGUCGAGUUGUUUGGGAAUGCAGCUCUAAAUGGGAGGUAAAUUUCUUCUAAAGCUAAAUAUUGGCCAGAGACCGAUAGCGCACAAGUAGAGUGAUCGAAAGAUGAAAAGCACUUUGGAAAGAGAGUUAAAAAGCACGUGAAAUUGUUAAAAGGGAAGGGAUUGCAACCAGACUUGCUCGCGGUGUUCCGCCGGUCUUCUGACCGGUCUACUCGCCGCGUUGCAGGCCAGCAUCGUCUGGUGCCGCUGGAUAAGACUUGAGGAAUGUAGCUCCCUCGGGAGUGUUAUAGCCUCUUGUGAUGCAGCGAGCGCCGGGCGAGGUCCGCGCUUCGGCUAGGAUGCUGGCGUAAUGGUCGUAAUCCGCCCGUCUUGAAACACGGACCAAGGAGUCUAACAUCUAUGCGAGUGUUCGGGUGUCAAACCCCUACGCGUAAUGAAAGUGAACGGAGGUGAGAACCGCAAGGUGCAUCAUCGACCGAUCCUGAUGUCUUCGGAUGGAUUUGAGUAAGAGCAUAGCUGUUGGGACCCGAAAGAUGGUGAACUAUGCCUGAAUAGGGUGAAGCCAGAGGAAACUCUGGUGGAGGCUCGCAGCGGUUCUGACGUGCAAAUCGAUCGUCAAAUUUGGGUAUAGGGGCGAAAGACUAAUCGAACCAUCUAGUAGCUGGUUCCUGCCGA
rnacentral:rRNA from 1 species